ACUGUGUGCCUGUCUGUCUGCCUAUCUCUCUGUCUGUCUGCCUGCCUGCCUGUCUGCCUGUCUCUUUGUCCGUCCGGACUUCUGGCCAACUCUGCUCCUCAUUCUUCAGGCAGACUCUGCAGGUCCUGGUGCUGCUGGCGUCUCCUGGCCCAUCCUCCAAGGGACAGUGUUUCCCGUGACUGCAGCCUGUCCCAGGGUGUCCUCACCCCGCAGGAACUCCAGCUGGAAGAUGACAGCCGGAGCAUGUUUUAAAGGCGUCUGUUCUAACAUCCCUUCAUCUCAAGAGGAGAGUAUCGAAGAUUUUGACUUUAAAAUUACUAGCAUUAAUAAUGUAUGACAUAGCCAAGCUUUUAUUAGAACUCAUCUUUAAUGUAUGUAAAUUUUUUCAGGAAAGUUUAAAUGUGCUUAUUAUCAUCAAUAAAAGUGUAAUUCGAGAUCAGGGAUCUAAUAGCCCGAUGCCAAAAAA